AGCUAGUGAACAGACGUCAUGGUGCCUCGGUGAAAAUACACUUCAAGAGAAUAUUCGGAAAAUCCUGAUUAAAUUUUGCGGUACCGUCACCGACGGUAUUCAGUGAUGUAAAUUACUUGAGCUCGACCGCACCCCUCGCUGCGGCUGAAUGGAGCAGCCUGUUGCGCCCAUUAAGGGGUCGGGAGCCGGAAGGCACGUGGAACUUGCUUUCCAUCGUCCGCGAGAAAUGUUCAAACGCCAUGACCGCAAUGCCGUUUCACGUUUGGAAGUUUUAAUCGAAGAGACUAUGUCGUGUGAACAGAUUAUGGUCUGGUGGUUUAACACCAAGGUGGCAUUACACAAUGGAAGUGCAGCUAGAUACGGUAGCGGUAUCAAAUCAAGCAACCUGGGAAGCCAAUCGCAAGCUUCUCAGCACACUUCCCCUUCUUUAUGUGACGAAGUGGUUAUCCUUUAGCGAUUGGCUGCACUCAAUCCAGGCCUUUCUGGAGAAGAACGCGAUCUACUUCGUCAACAUUUCAGCGAAUGGCAUGUCAAAGUCCUUGACAAGGUCACGAAAAGCAAAAGGUUAACAGUCAGUGCCACUCAUGGCGCACCCCCAUGUUGCUGGUGGAAAUGGUUCCGGACCGUCCACACCUUGUCGUACUAGCCAAUCAUUUAAAGCAGAAGUUAAGGUGUUUACUGGAUUCAAACCUUCAGUUGAAGCUUGCUAUCUUAGCUGGGACGAUUACUCCAUUCCCGUGUCACCUACACUCAAGGCCACCGUCUUUACCAUUGUCCUUUUACCUGCUUUCGACACACAGAGGCUCAUGGUCUCUUUGAUAUCGGCCGUCAUCACCAAUGACCUACCCGUCCACAUGCUCCAAAGACGAGCGGUAGUGCAAGGCGAUUAUGCCCAGGCUAUGGACGACGUACGUCACGAAAGGGAAAGGAUUGGCGGAUUUCACCCUGCAUCACCUCUUGUCCGGCCAGAAAGAGAAAUAGAUCAAGCGGGCAAAUAGAAGUAGCGUUAGCAGCGAAGGUUUCUGCGAAAAUGAAGGCAAUCCAGCCGUCGAAGCGUUUGAGCCGGCGUUUACCCAGCCCAUCAAUUCGCAAAAUCCACGCAGUCCCAUCAGGGCAUUGCAGAUGUGCACGUUUCAGAUUGGCCUCUACGCUUUGGGUCUCCAAAAUUGCGUCAGUGCCAAAUGGUUGAGCCGCAAUUAUUCAUCUCAUCUCUCUUGGAUUACAGAUCAAGCUAUGGAGAUUGGUUGGCAAGCCCUCUGGUUCUUGAUUAGUACCUGGGAAGGACAUUUAACCUCUCCGGAAGUGGCAAUUAUAGCCGAUCAAGCGUCUCGUGGUCACGAGGCGAAUAUGGUCCGACCAGCAGCAGAACUAGCCCUUCCUGCUUGCCACAUGCGCACGCAUUGAAUCCCAAUGAAAUUCAGCCAGCUAUACUGCAAUGCAAAGAACAGAGUAGCGAAAUGCUGGAACGUGCGUGCCUGGCCGUCGAGAGCGCGGCUAAAGGAGGUGGAGUUUAUCCAGAAGUUCUUUCCGGCGUAGCCCGUUGCUGGCACGAGUUGUAUUGUACGAGCAGCGUAUGCCUAGUGGCCGUAGAGGUGCUCGGGUUUUACCCAGCAUCGAGCAACCGCCACCACCAAUGCCGUUCCAUGUGCCACAGUGUUCCAUGCAGCAGCCUCAAGCCAAUAUGGCCGGCGUCGGUGUUCCGUUGCAAUAUGCUAUGACAUCUAUUGUUCCCUUUCCGUUAGCUUACAGUUUUCUUCCUGGUACCGCUCCUGGACCUAAUCCACCUGCUCAGAUUUCAGGCGUUCCUUUCAAUUUUUGGCGGCAGAUGGAGCUGCUGGCGCCACUCCGAAUGCGACGUUUUCGUAUGCUCCUCCUAUACCAGGGACGCAUUUUGGCGUCAACCUUUUGUUGAACCUUUUUAGUUCAACUUUUCGUCAAAGUUGACGCCAAAAUGGAAGUUCAUCGCUACAGUUGAGAAAGGGGAGGAGUGGCAGUUCAGUUAAAGGUCAACGGUGGUCUGGACCACCGUUGAAAAAGCUCAACUGUUUCAGUUGAACCUCCCACUGGCGUUGUCGCCAAAACGGUCGCCUAGUUGAACCAUCUACCGGGCAGUUGAAGCAAAAAUACAAUUUCACUACAAAAGUUGAACUAAAAGUAGACGCCAAAAUGUGCCCCAGGUCUGCUGUACUUUCCUUCAGUUUUACGUGCCCUAUGCCGAUUGGAGCGAUAUUGGCGCCUCCAAAUCCUCCUCCAGGUCCAUCUCCGUUGUCCAAGGGACGAAUAACACGACCAUACGCAGGCUCGCUAUCCGCGUAAACCGCCCUACGGUGAAGAUG